AGAGUUUGAUCCUGGCUCAGGAUGAACGCUAGCGGCAGGCCUAAUACAUGCAAGUCGAACGAUACCAGAGAGCUUGCUUUCUGGGAAAGUGGCGCACGGGUGCGUAACGCGUAUGCAACCUACCUUAAUCAGGGGGAUAGCCUCUCGAAAGAGAGAUUAACACCGCAUAACAUUAUUUUACGGCAUCGUAGAAUAAUCAAAUAUUUAUAGGAUUAAGAUGGGCAUGCGUGACAUUAGUUUGUUGGUGAGGUAACGGCUCACCAAGACUACGAUGUCUAGGGGAUCUGAGAGGAUGACCCCCCACACUGGUACUGAGACACGGACCAGACUCCUACGGGAGGCAGCAGUAAGGAAUAUUGGUCAAUGGAGGCAACUCUGAACCAGCCAUGCCGCGUGCAGGAAGACGGCCCUACGGGUUGUAAACUGCUUUUAUACGGGAAUAAACCUCGCUACGUGUAGUGAGCUGAAUGUACUGUAAGAAUAAGGAUCGGCUAACUCCGUGCCAGCAGCCGCGGUAAUACGGAGGAUCCAAGCGUUAUCCGGAUUUAUUGGGUUUAAAGGGUGCGUAGGCGGCCUAUUAAGUCAGGGGUGAAAGACGGUGGCUCAACCAUCGCAGUGCCCUUGAUACUGAUGGGCUUGAUUACACUUGAGGUAGGCGGAAUGUGACAAGUAGCGGUGAAAUGCAUAGAUAUGUCACAGAACACCAAUUGCGAAGGCAGCUUACUAGGGUG
rnacentral:rRNA from 1 species